UAUGGGCAGCACGGAAGGCGGGGCUAAACGCGGAAGCGUUAGUCCAGACACAGCUGUGUGGUGUCAGCUGGGGAUCCUGCGCUACGUUCCCUGGGGGCCACUGGGGACCUCUGCAGCCUGGGACUGUAGGGGUAGCAGCGGCCGUUUCCGGGUGGGACGGAGGCAGGAUGGUGUGUGAGUUUUUUCUCCUCUCCUCCAUCUGGUUCGUGGUCGUCAUAUUUUGGAUGGAGACGAUCAGUAUGUGGCUUUUCCUUUGCCAUUUGUUCCAGGACAGAUCCAUGUACCAGUGGGGAGACAGGAUUUAUGUCACCCACCCCGACCAGAUAAUGUACAUAAUUAUAAGAGUUGAUUCGUUGAGGUAGCACGUCAGCCAUGUCCUCAGGAAAUUGGGCGAUGUUGGACAUUUCACUCAUAUCAAGAAGGGAAAAGAUGCAAUUUUAAUGAUCAGUAUUUUGUAGAUUUGCUUUUAUGAUGACUGUAAAUAGCCGGGAUUUGGGAGGCCCACAGUGCAGGGGAUUGUCACUCUCGGUCUGUGCUUGGCAAUGGACAGACUGAGUUUGGAUUCCCCUCUGGACUCUGCCAUGACGGUCACCAUGGGGCCUCCGGCCUGAAGAGGGAGCCGAUCUCCGGGAAGUCUCUUGGAACAAGCUCUCGUAUUUUUGUUACAAGAAAUGUGCAUUGCACUAAUGAAAUCAAUUCUGUUUUAAUAAUCUCCAUUUUGUUUCUGGAUUUUCUUCAUAUAUUUGGAAAAUAAAUCUUAUUUUCAAUUAAA